UUUCCGUAGGUGAACCUGCGGAAGGAUCAUUCAUAAUAAAGUGUUUUAUGGCACUUUUUAAAAUCCAUAUCCACCUUGUGUGCAAUGUUAGAUCUCGUCAAUCUUGGCGAGAGUUUUAUACAUCAACUCAUUCUUUAGCUAAUUUGUCUGAAAAAUAUUAUGAAUACUUAAUUCAAAAUACAACUUUCAACAACGGAUCUCUUGGCUCUC
rnacentral:misc_RNA from 1 species